GGAUUGUGGCUCAGUGGUAGAAUGCUCGCCUAGCAUGUGCAAGGCCCUGAGUUCGAACCUUAGCACCA
rnacentral:tRNA from 1 species